AACCUUUUUCCGGUAAAUAAUUCGAGCUUGGGAAGGCAAGCGUCAACCAAGUACCAGUCGAUACGGGGAGGUGUUCGAGAGCUGUGCAGUCACAGAGGGGUGUCGUUCCGGAGCGUCAGUCCCUGGUCGGUCUUUUAGAGUCCUUUGUCCGUUUUCAUAUUUAGAGUCUUUUGUAUUUCAUUUUUACAUUUGCAAUUUCCUUUGUAAUAUUUUCGAAACAAAUCUUCUUUCUCUUUUGUUUUAAUUGAAUGGUAUUUUUAUCAUUUUACUUU